rnacentral:lncRNA from 1 species
CCCUUUUGAAACUUGGCUAUGACUUUCUCAAACAUUUAUCCAAAACCUUAGAUAAAUUCUCCUUGUGCUCUUAAUUUCACUUCCAAAAUGUCAAGAAAAAUGGAAAGAAAGAGGAGAGAAAAAGAAAGAAGAAGAAAAUGAAAGAAAAGUAAAAGAAAAAUGAAAGAGAAAGAAAACCCAGCCAAAGAAACCCUAGAAUUGACUAACAAAAUGGUAUUUAAAUGGCCAAAAAUCAUCUAAGAAAAAAUUGUGAAAGAAGUCCCGAAAUUUACGCGAAAUAGACAAAAUUCACCCAAACGGAAGGCGACUACCGCGCGCCAUUAGAGGCUUUUGGCCUCGGGAGAUCACAAAGAGCCUCCCGUGCGAGCGCCAUAGUAAGCCUGCGUGCGAGCGCGGGCUUCCUUUAUUUCUUUUUCCAACUUAGUCCUCCAUUUAAUUGCACACAAUGCCCCUCAACAUUGAUAAUGUACAAUCUGAUCCUCAAAUUUUGAUUUCCAUAUCACUUUUGGCCUCCAAAAUUACUACCCCAGUUCCUUAAACUUUCGGCACUUUUGCAUUUUGGUCCCCAACUUCACAAUUUUGUACGCUUUUGCUCCCUUUUCACUUCCUUUUACCUUGUUAUCUUACCUUUUGGGGUUAAUGACCUACAAAAGCCAAAAUUACCCAGUUAUGAGUCGAUAUCCGCUCCUUUAAUCAAUAAUUAGCUUGUUAAAGUAUCUAAUAAGUGUGCGAAAACACAAUUAUCACAAGGAUCUUCUAAACAUUGGUACAGGUAAAUGAUUUUCAAUUUUAUCGGUUUUCUAUUAGAGGUGUCACUAAUGGG